AGAACGUGGCACGGCGAGGCGUUUCUGAAGGAACAAGAAAGCAGUGUCGCCACCACCGCGAGAAAGCAGGCAUCGCCUUCACAGCCGACAAAAGCUACGGCCUAUGGCGGAUACGGUCGCCCCUCCACUGCCUCCCUUGCCGCGCUGUCUUCUUCAUCUCAUCGCUUCCCAUAGGUACGAACAACCCUCUUUCAUCGCGCUUACUCAGAUCAGAUCUUGUCUAUUAGGGUUAGUUAGCUGCCUUUUUCAUGCACCACUUCGUCGUUGCGGCUAGAUUGUCCAGUCAUCUUAGUCAGCUUCUCCAACAUUGCUUUCCUCUUGGAUUUAAUUUAUCCUACUUAGCACAAACCGAUCGGAGAGCAAACUGCCAUUUGGUAACAGUUCUAGAUAUGGCCAAUUCUGAUUUGGUAUGAAGUCCCCUGUAGCCACACUUAUAAAUUCCCCAUGUGUAUUUUGCAUCUCCAUUAUUUUUUGACUGAUAUGAAGACUUUUUCGUUUUCUUACAUUCGGUUCAGUAGUAAAAUGCAAUUCCAAACUGCACUACAGCAGAGUCUACGAAGUACAGACAGACACUUUAAAAAAUAUCAAUCAACCUCAUGAAUAUAUCUAAGGUUGAAAUAUAAUCGACACUAAGAGUAUGUGACAUGCAAAUUACACAUGUAAGUAUUCUUUCAGGAAGACUAAAUUCUGUUGCUGCAUAUGGCUAUUAACAGUUAUGAAAUACAGACUGUAUAGAAACUGAAUGUCAGUAAUGAAAUGCAGACUAUAUAGAAACUGUCUAGGAGUACUAAAACUUAAUGAAAAUGGAACUCAAAUGUUUGAGAACACAAAUUGCAACUUCGGAUGAAAAUAAAAGGUUGCAUAUCAUCAUAAUAUAAAAUUAUUAAUAAAUCAAUGGAUUGAGAUGUACGAGGCAUGAUACCAUGAGUAAGUUUCCUGCAUAAGCAACUACUUUACGACAUACUUUUGAUCUAUCCUUGAGGCAAUUGCAAUUUGCAUGUGACCCUUCACCAGAAUCUUUUAAAACAAUCUCCUUCACACUCUAGAACACAGGAAAGCAAUAGCUUGAUGAUAUAGACCUCAAAGUAACCAAAUUAAUUUCCAAUGCUCAAAGAGAUGUACUUGAUUUAAAUACAAACAGAAUGUAAGAAAUUUCAUUUCUUAAUAAGUUUGCAGAUGCAGAGAAUGGGCUGCACCAAAUUUAACUAAUGUUUAUUUUGCAUGCUCUAUAUAAUUAUAUAUAUGUCUAGCUGUUUAGCUCUGGGAAACAAUAUGUGUAAAUAUAGCAACCUAACUCUAGAUAUUGUAACAAAAAUAUUAAUUUCCAUAGUUGUCACCAUAUGUGCGUUUAUAAUCUUUUUAUUACAAAUGCACGAUACUCCUUCUUGACCACUUGUGUGAAACAAUGAACUAAUAUUUGUUAGUAGAGAUUAUUUUUAUUAAUCUAAGAUGUCAAUUUUUUAACCUAACCUAUUUAGCCUUUGAUUUUUUUUCUAAAUAAUGCAUGGUUUUGUUGGUAUUGCAGUUGUGCCAGUUGGAGACCCUUCUGUUGCUGAAGGAGACCUACAUAAACUAUAGUUAGCCGCUAAGUUAAACAAGCCACGCGCUAGGUCAGAACCUAGCAGGCUUAAGGAUCAGUAAAAUGAUAUCUGUUCAACAUGAGGCACAACGAUAUCUAUCUUUCAAGAAUCAAUAAACUGGUAUCCGCUAGAUGUGCUUCUCUGUCUUCGUUUGUUUUGAAACACAUAUAUAGUUGAAAAACUGUAGUGGUGAGAAACUCGAAAUGAAUCUGAGCCAGAACUCAGCUCAGACUGCCAAAUUUCAUAAUUUUAUUCACAAAUUUCAACAAUAUUAAACAUUGAGUAUAUAUUAAGCGAAUACCAAAAUCAUGUUUUCUAGCCUGUUUCAUGCCAUGAUGACAUCUUUCUGGCAAUGUGACCUUGACCACUGGAUGCAUAGUUGUUGUAUUUUUAUGAAUGGUAUUUUUACAACAAAUUAUUUAGAGUCAUAAAUGUAAAUACGAAUUACUAAAAACUUAGGAGGAAACACUUCUUUUCGUUUCUAUGGAAAUAAUUUUAGGACAUCUUAGCCCCUGAAGUACCUAAAAGCACAUAUGGGUAUCCAGCUGUUGAUUUCUUUUCAUCAUAUUGUGUUUGCUGUAAAAGUGCAAAUAUAACACAUAUGCACAAUGGUGCUAUAUGGGUGAAUGUCAUUACUGCAGUCAAGGUGUUUAUUUUCUCAUAGUGUUGCUUAUUUAUUAGGUGUUUAUUUUCUCAUAGUGUUGCUUAUUUAUUAGGUCAUUCAACCUUAAAUGUGUCAUAUGCCAUCACAACAUUGAUUUACUCCAUGAUACAUAAGGAGUGCUGGAGGAGAUAGUCCCUAUUAAUUGAUGUUAAUUUGAUUCCCAUGCUAUUGUUUUAGUAAUCACUAAUUUCCCUACCUUGUUUCUUGAUUGCUAGGCUCUCUACAGUUUGCUAAGUGACUUUUUGUUAGCUACUGUGAUAUCAGGAACUGAUAACAUCCAUCAUUUUUAUAAUAGUUAUUACCUAUUAGGAUAUGUAACAUCUUGAACUUUUUGGUACAUGCAGAUAUAAGAGUGAGCGCCUCUCAACUUGAGUGGAUUAUCUUGUUUCUAUGUUUUUGUUUAUCACAUAGACGAAGUUAAUGCUUAAUCCCCAGAGAUGCAUAUAACCAAGUGGCACUUACUUGGAUCUGAGAACCUCUAGUGCUUGUUUAUCUCAAGUAAGCCUUUUGAGUCUUAAUGUUUCAUUGAAGAACAUCAAUGCUUAAUUGCAAGUCAAUGUUGUAAUUCUUGAGAAGUCAUGGAAGCUUAUAAGAAGAAAGGAUGGGCUCUAACAAAUCAUUUACCUAAUUUACCAGGAUGGGAGAGUGUCGAAUGCUUUUUCAGAUACUAUUUCUUGGUCCGUCAAAUCUAUUUGAGCUAAAUGCAAGUUUUUGCUCAAAUGUGGCAAAAAAUGAUUGUCUCACCAAUUGUGAGCACGACUGCCUCCAACAAAGUUAGAAUGUAACUUCUUUUAACAGAUGCAAAAUCUGGCAUUAUUAUAUCCUUUUUUACACAUACAUAUGACCUUUGUGAUAUCUCGUAAUGUGAGGUGUUCAACUAUGUCUAACUACUAAUUAUUGCCUUCACCUAUUUGUAUAGGAAAAGAUGGAAUAGAACUUUGGUGGCCGCACAUGUGUGGAGACUAGAAUUCAUAUAUACUUAGUUAGGCUCAACGUUAACGCAAACAGUUGAUAACCAAAAUUUUCAAUUAGUACUUUAGUUUGAAUUUAGAUUACACUUUUGUAUGAGUUAUUUGACAAUGCUUAUUUAUUAGAUAUUGAAUGAUACUUAUCUAUAUUAUAUUAAUUAUAAUGUUAUUAAAUACAUGUGUGUAUGUAUAUUUCUCUUUUAAAUUAUUAUAAUGCAGUAUCUCAAAAUUGAUUAUAAAUUGAAGAAUGUACGACAAUCUAAACCAUUUUGUUUAAAACUUAAUAAGACGGUUUCCAAAGCGUCCGAUAUUAGUCUCCUAAAUGAGAUGGUUUUCCUGUUGCAAGCGUUUAUUAUUCAUAUGACAUUAUAGACAAUUUGAUAAAUACUUUGUGACUUAUAAUAUUCAUAUUAUCGACGGUUCUUUAGAAGAAGUGUCUUAAACAGAAACCUAAUUUAAGACGGUUUAUCAAACAAAAUGACUUAAACAAAUACCUUUUUAUACGGUUAUAAAUUAAAAAUUGUCUUGUAUAAUAUCUUUUAAGACGGUUUACAACCAUCUUAAAUGUGGGACAUCUUUUGCGACUCCAUCAAAUUUGGACACUACGUAAGCGUCUUAAUAACUGAAAAAUAACUGUCUCAUAUAACAUAAUCUGUAGUAAUGCAUGAUGACGACAUAGAUUGGCGACAUGGACUGAUUGAUUCAGCGGUGGUGUAUGCUAAUGGUGGUGGAAAGGCGCAUCGAUGGUGAUUUGAUAGUUUCUUAAUUUUUGUUAGUAUUUUUAACUAAAAUUUACAUGUUUUAGAUUUUGAGGCUACUCUAUGUUUAUCGGGUGGCCGGCUUGAGAGAUGACCGGUCAUAGAGAGGAUCUUCCUCUCAAAUUUCAGGUGGUACUAGUAGCCGACGACAGUGUCGCACAGAGCAAGACCUUGUCAUUGAAAAUCUAUUGGAGCAACUGAGGGUGCAACAAGUUGUACAUGAGUUAGUAAAAGGAGUACUUUGCUAUAUAUAAUUUCUAGCAGCAAGAGUACAACGCUAACUACGACGCCCAAUAACAUUGGAUUACUGUAAAUAUGAUUUUACAAUAUUUAACAUUUGUUGUAUUUAAAAGUACUAACAUGUUGUAUUUGUCGUCAAUGUUUUAGUAGCAGCCUGUUUUGUUGAAUGCCUUGCUAUAGUGGCAGCCGCCGUCAAUGCCCCCGCCGCCGAUGUUCCUUAGUUCCAUCCUCUAGGACAUCCUAGAGCGCAGGUUUAUUGUACUUUCACAAAUUAUGUUUAACUUAUUCGAUUCUAGAUACAUUUAGUCAAUCUAGGUGAACUUGUAUAAUCUAGGGAUCUGGAGUUAAUGUGAUAAAUGUCUAUCAAACCCCUCCAUAUGCAACAGCAAAUAGAGAUAUGGUUAUUCUAUUAAAUAUCAAUUAUUGU
rnacentral:lncRNA from 7 species